UUUAAAUGGCCGCAGUAUACUAACUGUGCAAAGGUAGCAUAAUCAUUAGUCUUUUAAUUGAAGGCUGGUAUGAAUGGUUGGACGAGAUAUUAACUGUUUCAUAAAAAUUUAUAUUAGAAUUUUAUUUUUUAGUCAAAAAGCUAAAAUUUAUUUAAAAGACGAGAAGACCCUAUAAAUCUUUAUAUUUAAAUUAUUAUAAUUUUAUAGAUUAUUUUUGUUAUAAUAAUUAAUAAUAUUUUAUUGGGGUGAUAUUAAAAUUUAAUAAACUUUUAAUUGUUUAAAUCAUUAAUUUAUGAAUAAUUGAUCCGUUAUUAACGAUUAAAAAAAUAAGUUACUUUAGGGAUAACAGCGUAAUUUUUUUGGAGAGUUCAUAUCGAUAAAAAAGAUUGCGACCUCGAUGUUGGAUUAAGAUAUAAUUUUAGGUGUAGCCGCUUAAAUUUUAAGUCUGUUCGACUUUUAA
rnacentral:rRNA from 2 species